AAAGAAAAGGAAGAGACAGAGAGAAUGAGAAAUGGCUGCAGUUUUCAUUAGGGUUUAUAAGAUGCCUUUUAUCUCUCCUUUUUUGUUUAUUAGAAUCAAUUAGCUUUCUUUUAGAUGGUAUUAAACAAAGCAUUAACCAGCUUGACUAUUGAUUUUCUCUCCCUUUUCUUUGUUUAAGUCAAGCUUUUCAGUUCUUCACAGCUUCCAACGAUCCAACCUCCAUUAUCCCAACAGUUAAAGAGAGAGAAGGAUCCAUUCCACUCUGUUCAAAAUCACUGACCUUUGCUUAUGUCAAAUAUUUUUUAAAAAGAAAG